ensembl:lncRNA
CUUCAUUGCCCCGUUGUGUUUCUUUAACCCCUUGGAGAGCGUUUCCCGCCCGCUAAGAAAAAAAGCGGUGUAUCUGUAUCUCUUAGUGACGAGUUGAGGUUCUGGGGAAAGCACGGAGCGCGGCGCGCUGAGAGAAAAUUCCACUGCGUUAGGACAAUGCUAGCAGGGGCCCGGCGCUCGGAAAUAGGGCUCAGCAUAAAUGAAAUGGAUCAGAAAAUCCCGCUUGUGCUGAAGUUUGGGAUCCAAUGGUCACAGCUUUCCCCAAAGCCUCGCUGUCAGCUGAGCUAUGCCAGCCCAAAUGCAGGAUGCAGGGAGACAGGCAGGGAAACGGCCCCGGACGACAGGCAGCAGUGCUGUUCCUCCUGCUGCCAAGAGCUCAAUUGUUGCACAGAUACUGGAGAUCUAUUGCCUAUUCAGAAGGCAGGGUGAAUUAUUCUUUGGUAUUUGCAGAACUAUGGCAACAGCCAAAAAUGUAAGAGGUGUAUUCGGGAUGAGAUGACCAAGAGAGUGAACAAAGCAAGCAAGCUGUUACAAGUAAUCUCUGAAACUGCGUGGGACAUCGCAACGUCUGGGAUGUCUGCUGGCACUGCAGAAAAGGACCGGAUUGCGAUGGGAGCUUCCCAGUACAGAGAGCUGAGCUCCUGUGUGCUGUGUCUGGUCCUGCUUUGCCACGCUGGACCCAGAUGAAAGCUGCUCCCAUCACACAGCAGAUGAAUACCAACUUGCGGCAUAGCGAGGACACCACCAGACAAAGCACAGAGCUCCUGGGCAGCGUCCCAGCUCUGAGCAGUGUGCAGCAGGCAGGUGGCUGCUGAGAAGUGGGAUUCCUUAGGUGUGGUGCAGCCGCAUCCACGUGCUGGCACUGCCCAUCCUGCUUGUUGACAUUGCAUGCGCAAAUCACAGGUGUGACAUCCGUAUGUUUCCUAAACAAUGUGUUGAAAGCAUGGUGGCUCGGGAGGGAUUUGUACAGCAGAGAGCAAGU